AUACAUAAGGCCAAACGACAAAAACAUAGAUUAAAACGAACAUAACCUCAAAAAUCAAGGUACUAGGUCUUUUGAAUUGAUGGUCAUAUACCAAACAUAAUCUCAAAAUUCUAGGGUAUAGGUUCAAGGCCUCAGUUCAAACAUAACCUCGAAAUUCAAGGUCAUAAGUCAAACAUAACCUCAAAAUUCUAGGGUAUAGGUUCAAGGCCUCAGUUCAAACAUAACCUCGAAAUUCAAGGUCAUAAGUCAAACAUAACCUCAAAAUUCUAGGGUAUAGGUUCAAGGCCUCAGUUCAAACAUAACCUCGAAAUUCAAGGUCAUAAGUCAAACAUAACCUCAAAAUUCUAGGGUAUAGGUUCAAGGCCUCAGUUCAAACAUAACCUCGAAAUUCAAGGUCAUAAGUCAAACAUAACCUCAAAAUUCUAG